GAGGGGGGUUAGGAACACGAUGAAACAAAGAUGAUAAAUGGAAACCAUUUUCUUUUAAGGGCCUCUCAAAAGAAGCAGUGUUUCUCCAGAGCCACCCCCUGCCCCCAACCGGUAUGGACUUGCUCGACAAUGACUGGCAUUUCCGUUCUCAGAGUGAAGAUGUUACAGACUCCUCUGGCUUAAGAGCAUUUGGGUUCUCAACCUCUCCCCUGUCUGCUCACAAAGCUUCAAUAAAAUCCACAUUCCUUGCCAAUGCUUAAUGGAAUAGAUUUGCUGUUUGGGACUAAACCUGUCCUGAGUUAGACCUCGAAGUCUCUACAAGACAGUAACAGUGUCUGCCCAUGAGAGGACAGCCACACAGAGUUUGCUUAUAUAGUAAGUAAAUAUGUAUUAAAUUAAUGUGUUUGUCUUGUCUUCCUAAGAAGAUAUAAUACUCCCCUUUACCUCUAGAUGAUUCAUAGGGAAAUUAUUCAAUGAUAACUUGCUGAUUAAAAGGAAUGGGCUGUAAUUCUAGUGUCUUUUUAACGGAGAAAGGAAAGAAAGUUUCAUAAGCACCUGCUGGGUAUCCUCUUUGUAGCAAAUGUUCACAUUUAAUCUCAUUUAAUCCUUGCAAUCUUGUGAAGCAAAUACUUUUAGUAUUAUUCUAAUGACAAUUACCUUCCUUUUCUAGGUAAGAAAACUAAGGCUCAGUGAACUUAAGUAAUUGCUCAGGUGUGUAUCACUAGGAAGUGACAGAUAAUGGGCUUCUAACCCUG